rnacentral:rRNA from 1 species
GAUGAACGCUGGCGGCGUGCCUAAUACAUGCAAGUCGAGCGAAGCGGGCACGCGUGAGUAACACGUGGAUAACCUCCUAUAAGACUGGGAUAACUUCCGGAAACCGGAGCUAAACCGGAUACUUAGAGAUGGAGCGGCUCGUCAUUAGCUAGUUGGUAGGGUAACGGCUUACCAAGGCAACGAUUCAUAGCUGACCUGAGAGGGUGAUCGGCCAAACUGGAACUGAGACACGGUCCAGACUCCUACGGGAGGCAGCAGUAGGGAAUAUUCCGCAAUGGGCGAAAGCCUGAUGGAGCAACGCCGCGUGAGUGAUGAAGGUCUUCGGAUCGUAAAGCUCUGUCAUUAGGGAGGCGUUACCUGCUCAGAAAGCCCCGGCUAACUACGUGCCAGCAGCCGCGGUAAUUC